CAAAAGCUUGGUCCUGGCUUUACUGUCAUCUUUGAUUAAAUUUAUACAUGCAAGUCUCCGCACCCCGGUGAGAAUGCCCUACCUGCCCACUAAGGGAAAGAGGAACCGACAUAAGGCACAACCCCAUGUUAGCCCAAAACGUCUUGCUUAGCCACACCCCCAAGGGUAAACAGCAGUAGUAAACAUUAAGCAAUAAGUGUAAACUUGACUUAGUUAUUAUCAAAAGGGCCGGUUAAACUCGUGCCAGCCACCGCGGUUAUACGAGAGGCCCAAGUUGACUAAUAUUCGGCGUAAAGAGUGGUUAAUGACUUACUUACUAAAGCCAAACACCUUCAAGGCUGUUAAACGCCCCCGAGGGUAAGAGGAACCCCCACGAAAGUAGCUUUAAUUAUCAUGAGCCCACGAAAGCUGGGAAACAAACUAGGAUUAGAUACCCUACUAUGCCCAGCCGUAAACACAAAGGAUACUUUACACAUCCUUCGCCAGGGAACAACGAGCUUUAGCUUAAAACCCAAAGGACUUGGCGGUUCUUCAGACCACCUAGAGGAGCCUGUUCUAGAAUCGAUAUUCCCCGUUCAACCUCACCCCCUCUUGUUAUUUCCGCCUAUAUACCGCCGUCGUCAGCUUACCCUGUAAAGGUAAAAUAGUAAGCAAAAUUGGUAUAACCUAAUACGUCAGGUCAAGGUGUAGCUUACGAGGAGGGAAGAAAUGGGCUACAUUUGCUAACCUAGCAAACACGAACGUUGCACUGAAAUAAGCAUCUGAAGGAGGAUUUAGCAGUAAGGGGAGAAUAGAGCGCCCCCCUGAAAAUGGCCCUGAAGCGCGCACACACCGCCCGUCACUCUCCCCAAAAACCCAAAACAAAUAAAUAAUAAGAUAGCCAAAAAUAAAGGGGAGGCAAGUCGUAACAUGGUAAGUGUACCGGAAGGUGUACUUGGAAAAAC
rnacentral:ncRNA from 1 species